UACGAGGGGGGCGAGCGUUGUCCGGAAUCAUUGGGCGUAAAGAGCGUGUAGGCGGCUCGAUAAGUCCGCUGUGAAAGUCCAGGGCUCAACCCUGGAAGGCCGGUGGAAACUGUCGGGCUAGAGUCCGGAAGAGGCGAGUGGAAUUCCCGGUGUAGCGGUGAAAUGCGCAGAUAUCGGGAGGAACACCAAUGGCGAAGGCAGCUCGCUGGGACGGUACUGACGCUGAGACGCGAAAGCGUGGGGAGCAAACAGG
rnacentral:rRNA from 1 species